GCCAUUAAAAUACAAGACGGAAGUGCUUAGGCAUCCCAAGGAGAGAGGAAAAGAAGGGGGAAAAGACAGAGAACGAAAGAGAAGGAAAUUUGAAAUCUGGGAGGAAUUCUAUUCUCUCUCUCUCCUCUCAGGUGGACGAAAAGAAUGCAGGCCUUUGCUAGAAUGACGCUUCCGGUUCGUAGGGUUUGGAACGGUGUCACCGCCCGCAUCGGCGUUCGUAAAAGAGGGCAAUGAAGCUUCGGAAGGAUGUCAGGUCGUGCGAGUACGAGGAUGUGCGAGUGAUGUGGGAGAUGCUGAGCCGAACCCAAGCGGAAACCAAUCAGAUUCGGUCCCCAGCAAAAAGAAAGAGAACUCUGUCCAGUUGCUUGGACUGGGCAGGGCAAGCCUCUUUCCUUUGUCGAACCGUCUAAAACACACAUGUGGGUUUCAGUUGUAUUUGACAAUAAAAGAAGAAAAAAAAAGGAGAGAAAGGGGGAUUAGUUUGUGAGAUUUGCCCCUCUUCUUCCUUGUAGAUAUCAGUUUCAACUGUCUGCCAAGUGAAUUAGUUCUCUCAAUUCCAUGUAAUAAACCACUCGUGCAUGUGUUCUUCUUGUC